CCUACGGGAGGCAGCAGUGAGGAAUAUUGGUCAAUGGCCGGAAGGCUGAACCAGCCAUGCCGCGUGAAGGUCAGUGCCCUAUGGGCGUUAAACUUCUUUUGUGCGGGAGCAAUAAUGGUCACGUGUGGCCAGACGAGAGUACCGUACGAAUAAGCAUCGGCUAACUCCGUGCCAGCAGCCGCGGUAAUACGGGGGAUGCAAGCGUUAUCCGGAUUUAUUGGGUUUAAAGGGUGCGUAGGCUGUGAGGUAAGUCAGCGGUGAAAUGCCUCCGCUCAAAGGGGUGAAGUGCCAUUGAUACUGCCUGGCUGGAAUGCGGAUGCCGUGGGAGGAAUGUGUGGUGUAGCGGUGAAAUGCAUAGAUAUCACACAGAACACCGAUUGCGAAGGCAUCUCACGAAUCCGCGAUUGACGCUGAUGCACGAAAGCGUGGGUAUCAAACAGGAUUAGAUACCCCUGUAGUC
rnacentral:rRNA from 1 species